rnacentral:rRNA from 1 species
UACGUAGGGGGCAAGCGUUGUCCGGAAUCAUUGGGCGUAAAGCGCGCGUAGGCGGCCCGGUAAGUCCGCUGUAAAAGUCCAGGGCUCAACCCUGGAAAGCCGGUGGAUACUGUCGGGCUAGAGUCCGGAAGAGGCGAGUGGAAUUCCUGGUGUAGCGGUGAAAUGCGCAGAUAUCAGGAAGAACACCAAUGGCGAAGGCAGCUCUCUGGGACGGUACUGACGCUGAGACGCGAAAGCGUGGGGAGCGAACAGG